UUCAUAAGGAGGCUGUCAGUGGCAAGAAAGGUCCGGAAGCACCGGGCAAGGAAAAGUGCUGUAUUAGUUGUGUCGCCGGCACCCCGAGCAACUAUCACAAAUGAGAACGCUGCUUCUGAACUACAGGCCCUAAGCUCUUCAAGUAUGAGUGCUGCAUCACUUGAUAUGCAAAGAAUGAGAAUCCUGCUGACGGUGACGCUCCCAGACCGCCGCAAUACACACAUGGACCCUCUCCCACAGUACUUUUUGGUGGAGGAAAUACUGUGCAUUGAGGUGGAACUUCGGUUUGGAUCGA